CUUGGCUACUACAAGACGAGCCUAACUCCGACUUGCCGGGGCUUUGACAGCUUUUACGGCUAUUACACCGGGGAACAGCACUACUACACCCACAGCGUAACAUACCAAAACCACACUGGUCAGGAUUUUUGGCUCAACCUGGAUCCUUUAUGGUCUGCAAACGGCUGCUAUUCUACGACACUGUACACGCAAAGAGCCCAGCAUCUCAUCCGUAGCCGAAAUAAGUCAAAGCCGCUCUUUCUGCUGCUGAAUCAUCAGUCUCCGCAUGGAGCCGGAGACCCUGAGCCAUUUCAGGCACCGCAAGAAAACGUCGACAAGUUCCCUUACAUUGGAGAAAGGAACAGAACAAUAU